UAGGGAAUCUUCGGCAAUGGACGAAAGUCUGACCGAGCAACGCCGCGUGAGUGAAGAAGGUUUUCGGAUCGUAAAACUCUGUUGUUAGAGAAGAACAAGGACGUUAGUAACUGAACGUCCCCUGACGGUAUCUAACCAGAAAGCCACGGCUAACUACGUGCCAGCAGCCGCGGUAAUACGUAGGUGGCAAGCGUUGUCCGGAUUUAUUGGGCGUAAAGCGAGCGCAGGCGGUUUCUUAAGUCUGAUGUGAAAGCCCCCGGCUCAACCGGGGAGGGUCAUUGGAAACUGGGAGACUUGAGUGCAGAAGAGGAGAGUGGAAUUCCAUGUGUAGCGGUGAUAUGCGUAACUAUAUGUAGGAACACCAGUGGCGAAGGCGGCUCUCUGGUCUGUAACUGACGCUGAGGCUCGAAAGCGUGGGGAGCAAACAGG
rnacentral:rRNA from 1 species